AAUGCAUGGGCAUUCCGUGAACCUUGUGCUUCAAUGCAUACAUCAGCGUUUUCCUAAAAAAGUUGCAUCACUGUUUUAACAGGAAAUAAUUUUGCUUCCAUGCAGGCUAAAGCAUGAGAGACGUCCAUAGAGUUGUCCUUGCUGUUGACGGAGCCGAGUUCAUCACUACCAGCAGCAUUGAGAAGGGCAUGGGCUUGCUCCUUGGUGCCUUCUUUGUGUCCAACAUCGCAUGUCCUCCUAGCUACCCUCUCACGAUGGAGUUUUUGCAGAGGUACUUUGGGCAAACCCAUCAAAAAAGGCGGGGCAAAGGGUUCAAUUGCGACAUCGUGCCAAGACUGCCGAGGCUCAUCAAAGCCAUCUGAGUUUUAACGUGGUACCAUAGUGCUACCAUAAUGCUGCGCUCUUGAUGCUGAACCCGAAAGGCCACUGGAUGGAUGGAUGGAU